rnacentral:rRNA from 1 species
UACGUAGGGCGCAAGCGUUGUCCGGAAUUAUUGGGCGUAAAGAGCUCGUAGGUGGCUUGUCACGUCGGGUGUGAAAGCUUGGGGCUUAACUCCAGGUCUGCAUUCGAUACGGGCUGGCUAGAGGUAGGUAGGGGAGAACGGAAUUCCUGGUGUAGCGGUGAAAUGCGCAGAUAUCGGGAGGAACACCAGUAGCGAAGGCGGCACUCUGGGCCGGUACUGACGCUGAGGAGCGAAAGCGUGAGGAGCAAACAGG